UCCUCCCUCCCCCCCUGGAAAAAGCUCGAUGCGCCCCUAAAAAAAAACUCGAUGCGGUCGGCGAGGUUGCGGGGCAGAGCCCAGCCAGCCGGCGGAGGCGACGCGGGCGGUAUGGUUGCGCCAUCCCGGUCGCGGACCAGCUCCGUGCGGUAGAGGUUGGUUGGGGCCUCCCGGACCGCACGCCGAUGUAGAUCGACGCCAAUCGUAGUUUGGCUACUCGGCUGUUCGUCGAGCGAAACUGCUCCGCGGUUUGAACGAAGCAAUCAUUCCUCGCUUUCGGGAGGAAUCCAUGGCGGAAUGCGGAUGAUGCGGCCCCCUUGCCGGCGGUGAUUAAUUUCUGUACAGGCGGUAUUCAUACUGUUGUGGUCAAUUGAUUCGGCCAGAUCUUUGGAGAUUGGUUAUCAAAUUAUUUUUACUCUCUGGACAGCGAUUGAUGUUCCAAAUUGGCAUUCUUCAUCUGAACUGAGGUAUAAGGCGAGCCUCCAAAACAAGGGAACAGUACGUUGCCGAGUAACAUGUAUCAAAGAAGUGGAAUGGUUAGCUUCUCUACUUCUUCAAGAAUUUCUGAAAGGAUAUAAUAAACAGGUGCCAUGUUAUAAACUUCUGUUAUUGAUAUCCUUGCAAUCGUUCGCAGUGUGUUAGCCACCUUAUUCUACCAAUAUAUGUUCCAGAAUUAAUUGGACCAGUUUGUGUUUAGAAGAGUGUUCCUUUCCUAUCUGAUUGACUCCAUGAAUAUUUUUAAUGAAUAAGAUAUAAACAGCAAUGUACAUUUAUCUCUGAUGUAUAUUGCCAUCCAAAUAAAGGGCUGUUAAU